CACCCUUAGAAAAAGAGCAACAACGCAUCUGGGUAUUUCAGGACUUUUCCAUUUUCAUCAUCACCAAGAACAUACCCCCCCUUUUUCCUAAUAUAGAUACACGCCUCACUCUCUAUAAAGAUAUCAGAAAUACGCACUCACACAGACAAUGCUCAUUAAUUCUCUCACAGUUCCUUAGCUGGAUAUUUUCUGGAAACUUCGAAGUUUAAUUGAGCUGUAAGAGUCUCAUUUGCUGGUAGAUUUUGUUGUUCUGUGCGUAGCUGAACCCCAAUUUGCUGAAUUUAUUCCUUACUUGGCUAUUAUAAGUUGCACUACUGCUGUUAAGGUACUAAUAUCGGAGCGCUUGGACCGCAGUGAGGGUGCUGUUUUCAGUCCACAAAGGCGACCUGAGGUAGUCCUGUAGACGUUUGCGGGCCUUGGCGUUACCUCCCAUAUUUCCUUUAUCCUGUUUCCUUUACUUAUUUUAGAAAUAGUGUAUCUUUUAUCUUUCAGACUUUGUAUGUAGUAUUCUUAGAUCGUCUGUGAAAUUGUGACACCAGUUCUGGGUGGUCGAGGCUCAAACAGUUAUAUUCGAUACAUAUUUCAAAUAGUUUACUA